AGACAUCGUUUAAUGAGCAACAAAUGUACAACAAUUAAGAAACACGUUAAAAUUGUUUAAAAUUUUUUAUCUCGAAAAAUGUUUUCUCCUAAAGCCCCAUCUCUUGUAUACGUGACCCCCAAUAGUCUUGACUCCAAAACAGAAUUAAAAAGACCAGUGCAGCACUAUAAUUUUUUUCCCUCUACUUGAAGUUUAUGUAGACCGGAAGGAGCCUCUGCAAUUUGUCCAGUCCAGUGCCCUGGUCAAAGCCGGAACAACUUCCAUGUGAGAGCAGAUCUGGGAGCAGAUUGCUCAAGACCUUGUCUUGCCAGCUUCUGAAAUCUCAAAAGAUGGAUGCAGAAUAUGCAUUCCCCAUGGCAAUGAAGCCCCUCCAUUCUCUCAGGGCUGCACCACUUUGCUGUUGAAGUCCUUAAGUCCGACAUUUUCUCAGAAGUUCAAUGGGGCAAGAAGGACCUUCAUCUAGCAGAUUUGUUAUGCUGAAGUGAAGUUAGAACUGGUAUUGUCACAGGAAAGGGAACCUUGUGAAACGCAUUUGAACUAAGGAUUCUGUCACUGUAAAUACUUACAAGAUUCUGGAUUGGUUCCUUUCUGAGUUGCUGUUGGUCCCAUGAGCAGGUGAGAUGUUUAAGACAGUCAGUCUGGUACCAGGAUAUCGUUCAGGAGAACACAGCUCAGUGCAGUAUUCCUGCAGGCAAGUCAACAGAUCUCAUCCUUGACGACAAGGUAUAGCACCAAGCUGUGUAAUACGUGCAACAUUUUAAACUUUUUGGGCAUUUAAAAAUUUAAAUAUUUUAAACCCAAACCAUUCUAUGAUUUGUAAUGCUCGUACAGGAUAAGUGCCUGACUUGUGCUUGUCUGUGCAGGUAUCACUUUGAGGGAAACAUGAAGGAGAGCUCUUUUAAAUUACAGUCCAACUGCCCUGAAGCCAUGGGUUUCAUCUCUGACUUGAGCUUCCUUUAUGAGCAGCACAGGCAGCUCGAAACACCUGUCCUCAUCUAUCACUCAGUUGAUCAAAAGGUCUCAAGCUGAUUUAUUUUACUUUAUUAAUUCAGUUGUCAAUCACUCCUUUCCCUUCUGUGACACAUUUAAAUACGUUUUUGUGCUGUUGUUUUGUUUUUCUUGCAAUUUACUAGCCGUUUUACUGCAGGUUUCAGUCCAGAUUAGCCGUGGUGCCUUUUUUCCAUUGCUCCUUCCGUUGUUUUUUCCCUUGCAGGCAUAGUUUCUACUCGUGCUAAGACUGAAGCGUGCUGGUUCAGCCCGUCGUUCCAUGCCCUCGUUGCUCGGUGCUGAGCAGCGGAGGCCCCCUGGCGCCCGCUUUGCCAGCAGCUGGGAGCGGCGGGAGCAGCACGCUGCGUUUCCCGUUUCUCUCUGGGUAAAAGAGGAGUAAAAUGCUCCUUCCCCAGUGCACGUUGUGGUCUGGGUCCCGAAUGAAUAACCUUUCCAGUUUUAUAGCCUUAGUUGGCUCUGAGUGUUUUUCUUCAGUGCUCUCCUACCUUUCUUUUUCUUGCCAUUUUCCUCACAUCAGAAUGGCUUUACUGUAGCUGUCAAAUGAGAGAUGCAGGACCACACCUGAAGCUCCCAACACGCAAGAAGGGUUUUUUUUUUUUUUUCAGACUGGUUUUUGGUUGCUUAAUUGGUUGAGCAGCGGUGAUGGUAUUUGUUGCUUGGAUUUCUUGUUUCCAUUUCCCCCUUACUUUUAGAAAGGACAUUUUGCAUUGCUUGAGCCCUGGCCAGAAUUGCCUUCUUUGCAUUUAGAUACUGUGUAACUCAUUGCUUCUGCUUAUGCAAGAACCCACAUCAAAGACUUUCCUUCCAAGUUUUAAAGAUCAUACGGAGAUCAGAAAUAAGACUUUGAAAAGCCAAAUCUCCCUGGAAAAGCGCUUACCCAAAAUAUCAGAAAGCUGUAAAAGUGAGCAGAUCUGAAUGCUGCUUUCUGAUUAAUGCAGGUGCGUGACAGUGCCUGUAACUGACACUGUUUGGUGGCACACAGCCAAAGGCCUGAUGAGCGUCCUGUGUCAGUCUGUUCUUGGGUCUUAUUCAAGUGCUUGUGGUGGGCAAAAUAGCAAUCUUCUUGCUGAGGAUCUUUCUGGGGUUGGAACAAAAAUGUAUUUGUUGUUGUGAUUGACAAGUUCAGGAUAUAAUAUCAGCUUCUUGCCUUGUCAGUAGUUUGCAACUAUCAUUUGAAAUGGUUUUCCAAUGGAUGCAGUCCAUCAGUAUCUUGUUUAGGAGCAGUCUGAUGUGCAGAAUUCAGUAAUGUUCAAAUCAGUUACCUCCCAGCCGGGGGUUGGGAGCUGUUUUGUUUUAUGUUUUAGUUUUGUUUCUUUGGCUUUUAUCUGCUCUCAUUUAAAAGUGUUGUCUUUUUCAGCCUGCAGUGCUUAAGAACUGCUCUGCAAGGAAAGUAUAUCUUUAGUAUUUGCAACGCAAAUUUUCCCUAAUGCUUUCCUAAAACUUCACACAAUCUGUUGUUUUGAUACUACGGGAGAGUAGUGUCUAAAAAAACAGAAGAUAGUUCAGUGUUAAUUUUGGCUGUUGUUUGUACAAAGAACUGCUGUGCAUUUAGUGCCAUUUAUAAAUAAGGUAUUACUUUUCUCACUUCUCGCUUAUGCACUGCAAGCAGAAUGUUAAGUGAUCCACUUUGUGUUGGCAAUGCAGCAUGAUAGCUGACUUGAGGAGACUCUUGGCUGAUAGUAUGGCUUCCUGGCAUUGCUCUCUUCCCAGUAGGAUAAAGGCAAAUUUUAAAAUUAGGUAUAAAUCACAAUCUUGAUUGCACACAGUUGUUAUAUAUUGUUAGUAGGCACUAAAGCUCUUUUCCUGAAGUCUGCCAAGAUUUUUGGAUGAAAAGUAUUGUCCAGUUUCACCUGCUUUUGACCUUAGAAAAUUUGAGAUUCAUACCCCUCUCCUCUAAAAGCUCUAUUUAUUUCAAGCAUGGGAAGGUGAUACAGACUUUGUAUCUUGCUAUCAAGCUUUUUCCCAACACCAAUAGAUCAUCACCUGUCACAGGUGUAUUUCACUUCCUUCAUCUUACUUCCUCAGUCUCACCACCCUCACAGUACAGAAUUUCUUCCUAAUAUCUAGUUUAAACCCACCCUCUUCCAGUUUAAAACCUUUUCCCCUCAUCCCUUAGCCACAUGCCAAAGAAAUCCCUUCGCAGCUUUCCUGUAAUCCUGCUUCAGAUACCAGAAGGCUGCUGUAAGGUUCCCCUGAAGCCUUCUCUUCUCCAGGCUGAAGAAUCCCAGCUCUCUCAGCCUGUCCUCAUAGGUGAGGUGCUCCAAUCCUCUGAUCAUUUUUCUGACCUUCCUCUGUACCUGCUUCAGCAGCUCCUAAACAUUUGUGCUGGGGGCCCCAGAACUGGAUAAAGUACUCCAGAGUGAGGUCUCACGAGAGCAGAGUAGAGGGACAGAAUCACCUCCCUUGACCUGCUGGUCACAAUUCUCUUGAUGCAGUCCAGAAUAUGGUUGGCCUUCUGGGCUGUAAGUGUUCAUUGCUGCCUUUUUUUUUGAGUCUCAUCAACCAGCACUCCCAAGUCCUUCUCCUCUGGGCUGCUCUCAAGCCAUUCUCUGCCCAGCCUGUAUUUGUUGUUGGGAUUGCCCCAACCCAGAUGCAGGACCUUGCACUUGGCCUUGUUGAACUUCAUGAGGUUGGUAUGAGCCCAUCUCUCAAGCCUGUCCAGGUCCCUCUGGAUAGCAUCCCUUCCCUCUAAUGUGUCAACUGCGCCACUCAGCUUGGUGCCCUCUGCAAACUUGCUGAGGGUACACUCAGUUCUGCUGAGAUGUGUAGGCAGGAGAGCCUGAAGUGCUGGGUCUGGGGAAAGUGAGCAGAAGUAAGUGGGUAAAAAUGGUAUUCAUGAAUCUCACAGCUUACCUCUGUUACUGAGUUGGAAUUAGUAGUGUGUGCUAGUGAAGAAGAUGGUUUUGAAGAGGAACUCAAUAACGCUCCAGAACUUUAGUGACUUGUGAGAGGACGAUUUUUCUAGGGUAACAUGGGAGGCCAUUUAAAAAGGAAGAGAAGUAGAAAGUUUGCCUCUUUUUGGGCAGAACUAGACUGUGGAAGUGUUUGGAAGAAUGAGCAAGAAACUGGUUACAAACAUGAGAUAGAUAAAGUUGAGGACAGUUAGAAAAAUAGUUGAGAAGAGUGCCCAUGAUGGUUCAGGCAACACAGAAGAGUCAUCUGGAUCAGCAAAGAGUAGGUGAACUGCCAAAGCAUGGGGUGAGUGGAAACGGAUGACAAUUUUAGCAGUGGACCUGAAUUAAUUAUGGGCCUGAAUGAUGGUAUUGCUGGAAGAAGGGAAUGUUUAACAGGACGGGCAGAAGGAGAAGUUUCAGAAGGGAGGCUGGUGGUGUGUCCCGACCUCUAGGACACAGUGCAGCUUGCACAUACAAAAGGCAGUCUCCAUUUCAUUAAAACUUUACAUAAAGAACUACCGAACAAUAACUGUUCCAUAGUGCUGUGCAGUCCCAGUUAGGGGGCCGUGAUCCUUGGAGAAUGGGAAAUAAAUGAAGAAAAAAUCACAGAAUUGCAAAAUGAGCUGAAACAAAAUGUCAAGCACUUUUGCAAAGAAUUCUCUGUUCCUUUCCAAGGAAUGCUGAGGUUAGAGCUCUGCACUAUUGGCUGUUUCACUACAUAUUUUGGCUGCUGGCAUUGUUAACCCUUCUUUUGCAUCUCCAGUUUUAAAAUCUGCUGUCUAGUAAAGAAAAAGCAAAGAGGCUGGAGUUUAGCCAAAGAGGAAAUAUUUAAGGCCAGAACUCACAUACCUCUUCUCAAUAGCAAACGGUAGUGCUCUGCAGCUCUGUCUUCACGCAGACAAAUCGAGGGAGCAGAAUCUGGUUUCAUUUUGCAUUAAUGAGACACUGGUUUUGUUUGUUUUUGCAAAAUGGUCUUCACUUUUAUAUUCUGGUGCAAAAAGAAUGGCCAUUUUUAUGCCCUUCCUGUUCUCUGGUUUCUCAGGGCCUGCACGGCACCAGAGCAAGGCAUAGCAUUUGCACAUCUGUAGAAAUUUAUAAUGGUUAAAAGGUCACUGUGGCUUCAGCUUAGUCUGUUAGCUUUAGACAAAGCCCUAAAGAGUUGAUGGGUCUUGUUUUACUUGCCGGAUGCCCUAUCGGAGUUGGUUGCAGCCCAGUUAACUGUUAGCAGGUAAGUUUGUGAGCUGGGACAUUCUGUGAAGCUGGAUGCUGCUGAUGUUGCUGGCAUGGGCUGAAAGUGGUCCUGCCUAUGAGGUGUCUUUCUGGGGAGCUGCUGGUGCAACUGGAUUUUCCCCCAAAACAGCAGCUUUGAAAGGUCAGAUCUACCUUGCAGAUAGACAUCCCAGCUGCCUCCUUAGCUUGAUCUCCAGACCACGGCACUUUCUGCUGAGGCAGUGCACAUCUGUCCAAGCGCAGCUUUAGCCCUGCCCACUGCUGGCCCUUAAUGGAAGGACUGCUGGUCUGGGCAGGGCUCUCCAGGGGGCAGACAGCCAAUGUACAAAAAAAAAAGGUGAUGACAAGAAUUGGUACUGCUAUUCCUGGUGGCUGCUGAAAGAACAGUAGCAGCGAGAAAGCCUGCAUGAGUAAUGCAUGGGCACAGCAUGAGCAAUAGCACUUCCCAGAGCUCCACUCUGAAACCAUACAACGAAGUUGUAUGCCCCAAGUGCUGCCCCAAGAGGUGGUGGGGUCACCAUCCCUGGAAGCGUUGCAAAAACAUGUGGAUGU
ensembl:lncRNA